UCUUGCACUGCUACUCCCCAUCUCCUUAGUUUUCCCUUUUCUCUUUGCCUUCCCUCCUCCUCUCUCCUCUCUCUUUCUCUUUCCUUUCUUUCCCCUCCUUCCUCCCUUCACCAUCCUUGUACCCCUUCCCCUUCUUUACGCAACCAGAUCUUAUCCUCUUAACCAGAUUUGGACAAUGCGAUUUCUUUUCUUUCCUCCCCCAUCCUUUUCCCUUCCUCCCCUCCCCUCCCCUCCUCUUUCCCUACCUCCUUUCUCUCUAGCCUCCUCUCCAACCUCCCAGUAACUAGAUUGGUCCUAAAGACAGAAGGGAGAGGAGGAGAAGAGAGAAAGAAAGGGGAAGAGAGAAGAAGAAUAAAAGGAAAGAGAGAAAAAAAGGAAAAGAAGAAGGGGAUAGUAGCAACAGAAGGUGGGAAGUAAUGGCAAGAGUGGUGGUAGGGGAAAAAAGGAUGAUAUUUUAUUUUUAUUUAUUUAUCUUUUUAUAGAUAUAAGGUAAGUUGUAUUUAGGAAAUUUUGUGUUAUUAGG
rnacentral:lncRNA from 1 species